GGAAUUGCUGUGUCGCUUUUCUGGGACGCGCAUCGCUCCAUCGAGGAAGAUGCGGCAACGGGGGACUUGGACACGAUUAUGCGGUGGCAGGGGACCCAUGUACAUCAUGGGAGACGCGGUCGCUUCCGUCCCCAUUCGCCGCUGCAGCGCGCGGAGCCCCAUCCUAGAUCGCCGCGCCACUUCCUACCGGCAUCGGCAUCGAGUAGGUACCCUGACCUCGCGCCAUAUAUGGCUCUUUAUUUGCACUGGGUUUAGUGUGUGGCCGUGGUAAAUGCGUACGAGGUAGGCUGCCACCGCCCCCAAAUUGUUGCGCUUCCGAGCCGGCCGUGAGGCAUCUGAUCCCCGUGCGUAGGGAGGCCGGAGCGGGCGUCGCAGAGGCCGGCGGGCCGCAGACCGGCAGCUGGCGGUUGCGUGGAUGGCAACGAGGUCGAUUCGUCCGCGCCGUCGUGGUAGCUCGAGGAUGAGCGCUCGACGGGGCUUGCCUUCCAACUGGGCACCGGGUCGGUGUCUCAGGUGUCAUCUGGCGCAGAUGGCUACAGCUGAUCAGCGGCUACUCCUACUCCACUGCACCAUCUUGCGUCUAUUACUAAUCUGUUGCUAAUUAAUUGUUAUGGAUUGAUCAUUUAAUCGUCUUUGUGUCAUUGUGUGCAGGUGCAGACUAAGUGACGCAGCCGAGUGGUGUACAGAUAGAGAUGCCGAUUGCACAUAUAGGUCGUUCACAAGAAUAUUGCAUUUGUUCUUUGUAUGACCACCGUCAAGAAUGAGGACAAGAUUCAGUUUAGCAAGAUCCCGCAGGCUAUUAAGGCCAACUUCAAAGAUAAAUUUCAUGAGGUCAAGAAGAACUGGGGUGGUGGUGUCAUGGGUUCCAAAUCACCAUUGAAAACCAAGGGCAGGGAAAAGCUGCUUGCCAAGGAAGCUGCUCAGCGGAUGACCUACGGCACGCCCUGUUAAAUUUAUCUUGUACGGUCGUGCUGCCGUAGGAUAUUCUCACUUCGUUUGCUGGUUUGUUUUGCAGCUUUACAUGGCUGCAUUAGUCAAAUGUUUUGAGAUUGGACGACUAGGGGCCGAUAGAGUUCUCCGUAAUGGAAAGCAUUUUGACUGGCAAGGGAAACCAUGCUUGCCUAUAUAUAUCAUGCACUACAUUCUUUUGGACCCAUGUUUACUGCCUAUCAAUUCAGACUUUGUCAGAUGAAAACACCCAAUUUCAUGUCAGUUUUGGAUAUGUCCUUGCUACCCGGCCCAUAUGCAAAUUUGAUGUAUACUUUCUCUGUGCUUUCAAACAAAUAAAAAAACCAUUGCAAUGUA